UACGGGGGGGGCAAGCGUUGUUCGGAAUUACUGGGCGUAAAGGGCUCGUAGGCGGCCAACUAAGUCCGACGUGAAAUCCCCAGGCUUAACCUGGGAACUGCGUCGGAUACUGGAUGGCUUGAAUCCGGGAGAGGGAUGCGGAAUUCCAGGUGUAGCGGUGAAAUGCGCAGAUAUCAGGAGGAACACCGGUGGCGAAGGCGGGUCUCUGGGCCGAUACUGACGCUGAGGAGCGAAAGCGUGGGGAGCGAACAGG
rnacentral:rRNA from 1 species